rnacentral:ncRNA from 2 species
AACUUAUCAAGAGUGGUGGAGGGACUGGCCCUGUGAAACCCAGCAACCGGUUUAUUUUUUUGAAGUAUACUUGGUGCUAAAUCCAGCAGUGUAAGAACUGAAAGAUAAGGU